GGUCCCGCCUGCCCAGUGACUCUUUAAACGGCCGCGGUAUCCUAACCGUGCAAAGGUAGCAUAAUCACUUGUCCCCUAAAUAGGGACUGGUAUGAACGGCUAAAUGAGGACUAAACUGUCUCUUGCGAACUGGCCAAUGAAAUUGAUUUUCCAGUACAAAAGCUGGAAUAUACCCAUAAGACGAGAAGACCCUGUGGAGCUUCAAAACCAAAUCACCCAGCAUGCUCAUUGGAUUUUUAGUUGGGGCGACUUCGGAAUAUAAUAAAACUUCCAAAAUAAAUUAAUUUCAUCAAGAUUAACACACCAAAGUUUCUUUAUAGACCCAGCAACUAAUUUUAUUUGUCUGACCAAUGAACCAAGUUACCCCAGGGAUAACAGCGCAAUCUCCUUUUAGAGUCCAUAUCGACAAGGGG
rnacentral:rRNA from 1 species